UACGUAGGGUGCGAGCGUUGUCCGGAUUUAUUGGGCGUAAAGAGCUCGUAGGCGGUCUGUCGCGUCGGAUGUGAAAACCCAGGGCUCAACCUGGGAACUGCGUUUGGAACUGGCAAGCUAGAGUGUGUUAGAGGGGGGUAGAAUUCCACGUGUAGCAGUGAAAUGCGUAGAGAUGUGGAGGAAUACCGAUGGCGAAGGCAGCCCCCUGGGAUAACACUGACGCUCAUGCUCGAAAGCGUGGGUAGCAAACAGG
rnacentral:rRNA from 1 species